UGAUAGUUGGCAGAGAUAAGGCAGCCAAGAGCUGUGGAUGGCCUUUGAGCCAGGAGGUGUGGAUAAGAUGGCCAAGAGCUGUAGAAGAACAUAGCUUUUGAGUCAAGUAGCUGUGACAGCCAAGAGCUGUGAAGAACAUGGCCUUUGAGUAAGGAGCUGUGUGUGUGGCCUUUGAGUCAUGGGAAAAUGUAUGUAUUUUAAUGUGGCCUUUGAGUCACAGUGAAAGGGAACAGGAAAUGAGAAGCAGCACUAGAGCUGAAGGAUCAGAGCCCAGCCUUUCAAAUACCUUUCCAUGUGACUUAGAAAGCAACGAUUAAUAUGCAAAUUUAAGUCUUUGAGCUACUUGAAUAUUAAUUACUUUUGAAAUCUGCUUCUAUUGAGAUGUUUGAACAUUAAGGACAGUGAACAUAACAUAAAUGAGAGGAACCAGGUCUGAGCUGGAGAGCAUUAAUCCACAAAGAUGCAAUUAAAGGUGGAAAACAGGAGCUGUCCGCACAAGGGGAGAGAAGAAAAUGGAAGCAAUGGACUAUAACAUUGAUCUGUUCUAGGACUGGAAUCAGGCUGACAGACAAAAAUCCAAUUUGAAAAACAGCUGGACACAUUUCAGACUCCAGGUUAAGACACAAACUUUAAUCCCUGCGAGGAAUAUAAGUUCUUCAGGAAGUUGGUCCUGAAGGCAGCUGCACAUCCAGUCUGCAAAUGCAAUGGAGCUGCAAAUAAUGGUGAACUCCCCAGAGCUGUUCAGCUUGGGUUUAUUGUGGGUGGGUCUGCUGCUGUCCCUACAGAUACCAGCACAAUUCCUGUGUCCUUCUGCUCCUUACACAGGGCAUUGUGUCACUUGGAGAAGCACUGGGUUUGUGACAGCUCUGUGGAAGGAUGUGCUGCGCUCCUGUUGCCUGGUGCUGUGGAAAAAGAGUUCUGACCCAGAUGUUUGUGUGGCACAGGUUGGAAAUGAAUUAAUAGUGUGCUGCCGUAAUUGCCUCUUUAGGACUUGAAAGUGGGAAGAGAAGAACAGGUUUUGGCUAAGUAUGCUCUUGAUAUGGUGAGGAAGCAGAUAUGUAAGGGGAAGAAUACCUCCUUGCUGUGUAGAACUUUGUCUGGGCAUGUAGCUCUUUAAUUAUAUGUUCUACAUGAUUGUAGGCAAGGAAGUCCUGAAUUCAGCUUUUCAUUUCUUUACACAGUGGUGUUGGGUUUUUUCUUACCUUUUUCCUAGCCAAAAGGGCACAUUUCUUUCAUAGUCAAAUAUUUAGGGUAUUAUAAAUAACUUCUCAGCAAUGCAUUAAAAUGGAACUAUGUCACUAAUGAAUGUUGGCUUGGAAUUACAGCCAGUAUGGUAAUGAAAUAUAGCCCCAUUAGAUUUAAGUAAUUUGCAAAUUGAAGUUGUUAUCAGUUAAUAAUGAUAUUCCUGGCUGAUGUGAGAAAAGAGUCCUGCUACUCCCUUGAAUAGGAAGCAGGACUCGUAAACAGAUGUAAACUAGCAUAAAUGUUAAAUUCUGGAUUAAUUCCAUGCAUUCAUUGCAGUAAAUCCCCGCUAACAGACAGCUGUCAGGACUGCCUAGAAAACUUGACUCCAUUUAUUUUCAAUGUGAUCAUUCUCCUGCUCUUGUUCUACUUCUAGGAAAGCUGUAAGGAAUGAUUUCUGUGUGAAUUCCAACAGUACACCAGUUUAUCACAGUGCUUGUGUUAGUUAUAUAUAUUUGUAAUUAACCACAAGUUAUUCAGGGGCUAAACAGCUGCAUCAGCUUCUAGGUCACUUUUGACUGUCUUAGCUAGAGCCUUUCAAAAGAGCAGGCAAAAUAAAUCAUGUUGGAAAGAAGAUCCAUCCAGGAUAUAUCUGGAGCUUUUAGUAAAUGUGGUUUUGUAGCUGAAGGAGCUGCCAGGAGAGCAAACUGCAUCCCAAACCCCAGUGAACCCAGAGUGUUUCCCUCCCUCUGGAAUGAAUAAUUCUGGUUCAACAUGAGGCCAAUGCUUUGUUGCCACUGGGUUUGCUCUGACACGAGAUUUGAGCAGGGACCUGUGAGACUGCAGAGCAUCUGGGCUCUUUCUUUACCUCCCUUAAUUAAAAUCAGGUCUAUUUGUUAGGAAACAUUGUGGGAAGCCUAGAGGCACCAGGAGGGAGCCUCCAAUAGAGAAACUCACUGCAACCCUCUGAAAGCUCAGAACAAUGGAAAUCUCUGCAGUUGUGGCAAAGCAGAGUAGGAAAGAACAACAAAAUCACCCUGACUGGUCAGUCACUUGCAAAGAGAUGCAAAUAAAACCUGAGUUCUCUUAUUGUGUCACCUGGGGUCCAGUGAAGCAUUUUAUUUUCCUGAUAGAAAUUGAUCCUAUAGAAUGAUUAAAUACACCAGUCAAAUAGCUUCUCAAACAACAAAUAGUUAACUAUUCUUUGUCCCUUUCUGUGAAAAGUUUAGAAACGGUUUUU